rnacentral:rRNA from 1 species
AUGGCGGCGGAGGGGCAGGAAAAGGAGAAGAUGGUGAUGUUGCGGAGCGAGGACGGCGUGGACUUCGUGCUGUCAGAGUCCGAGGCAGAGGCCCAGUGCGGCAGGAAAAUCAAAAUAAUGAUGAAGCACGACUUCGAGAACCACAUCAUCCCUUCCGGCGACGGCGGCGGCGGCGAAAUCAACUACUGCCUCAUCCGCCUCCCCGUCCGAGGCGACACACUCUCCAAGGUGAUAGACUACUCCAAGAUGCACGCCUCCGGAUCCCACGACUUUGACCCACUGGGAUGCGGACUUCAUCGCUGCUUUCAACCACGAGGCCCUCUUCGAUCUCAUCCUGAUUAUAAAUUGAUUUGUACACUCUCCCCGGCUUCGAAAUAUCUUCAAAUAAGAGGACUGAUUGACCUAGCCUGGCAGACUAUUGCUAGUAAGAUAAAGGGGAAAUCUCCACGUGAAAUUUGUAAUAUCUUCAACAUCAAGAGUGUCUUUCCUCCGGAAUUAGAUGGAGAAACGAUAGCAAAGCGAUUGCAAGAUUGCACAACAUGUUCCAGUGACAAGGUAAAGGAAUCGGAAGUUGGCUUCCUGAUAAAAGUUUUUGGUACCGUUGUAGAAAGAGACCAGGUAGACUAUAGAUGUGUUUAUCUCUUCAGGCGUGAAAGGGAUGAUCCCCAACUCAUCAGCUCGGCGUUAACUUUGAUGGAUCCAUGCCGAGGGCUUGUUCUGGCGGACAUAAUAUAUUUUGAGAUGAAUUUAAAGAUACUCCAUGAUGAAGGUGAGGUUGAAGAUUUCAGCAAGGGUGUAAUCGUUUUCAACAGGGCCUGCCUCCCUAAUGAUAAGCAGACUGUGGGUGUUAGUCUAAAUAGCUAUCUGAGUAGGGUGGAGGUGAGAUGUGUGUAUGUUGCAUAUCCCAUUGAAGCUACCAUUGAAGUCAAUAUCUUGAAGGGACCGUGUAGUGUCUCAAGAGUUGCCGCCUGGACUACCAAGAAUUAUGAGUAUAGUAUGGAUCUUUACAACGGUGGUGAAGCAGCAGCAGAGAUUGAGGCAGAAGGGACCGUUCCCUUGAGUCGUCGCGUUGUAGCUGUCCCACUUGGUAGAAAGUUGGUGGUCCUUGUCACCGGUCGUAGCGUUGGUGAUGUUUUUGAUAAAAACAUCAUCGCACCUUUAGGACGAUCAACUGAGUUGAUGCAUUAUAAAUUAGGCUCCGCACUUGUGGAGGUGAAACUUGUCUGGACAGCUCUUCCCAGACGCGAGAGAGAAGAUAUGAUCAAGGAUGUGGGAGACGAGAGCCUUUUGAUGUGA